rnacentral:tRNA from 1 species
GGCGACGUGGCCAAGCGGUCUAAGGCGAAGGUCUGCAAAACCUUUAUUCGUCGGUUCGAAUCCGACCGUCGCCUCAA